rnacentral:rRNA from 1 species
CGAGUCUUAACUGGGCGUUAAGUUGCAGGGUAUAGACCCGAAACCCGGUGAUCUAGCCAUGGGCAGGUUGAAGGUUGGGUAACACUAACUGGAGGACCGAACCGACUAAUGUUGAAAAAUUAGCGGAUGACUUGUGGCUGGGGGUGAAAGGCCAAUCAAACCGGGAGAUAGCUGGUUCUCCCCGAAAGCUAUUUAGGUAGCGCCUCGUGAACUCAUCUUCGGGGGUAGAGCACUGUUUCGGCUAGGGGGUCAUCCCGACUUACCAACCCGAUGCAAACUACGAAUACCGAAGAAUGUUAUCACGGGAGACACACGGCGGGUGCUAACGUCCGUCGUGAAGAGGGAAACAACCCAGACCGCCAGCUAAGGUCCCAAAGUCAUGGUUAAGUGGGAAACGAUGUGGGAAGGCCCAGACAGCCAGGAUGUUGGCUUAGAAGCAGCCAUCAUUUAAAGAAAGCGUAAUAGCUCACUGGUCGAGUCGGCCUGCGCGGAAGAUGUAACGGGGCUAAACCAUGCACCGAAGCUGCGGCAGCGACGCUUAUGCGUUGUUGGGUAGGGGAGCGUUCUGUAAGCCGUUGAAGGUGGCCUGUGAGGGUUGCUGGAGGUAUCAGAAGUGCGAAUGCUGACAUAAGUAACGAUAAUGCGGGUGAAAAACCCGCACGCCGGAAGACCAAGGGUUCCUGUCCAACGUUAAUCGGGGCAGGGUGAGUCGACCCCUAAGGCGAGGCCGAAAGGCGUAGUCGAUGGGAAACAGGUUAAUAUUCCUGUACUUGGUGUUACUGCGAAGGGGGGACGGAGAAGGCUAUGUUGGCCGGGCGACGGUUGUCCCGGUUUAAGCAUGUAGGCGGAUGUUCCAGGUAAAUCCGGAACGUUAUUAACGCUGAGGUGUGAUGACGAGGCACUACGGUGCUGAAGUGACAAAUGCCCUGCUUCCAGGAAAAGCCUCUAAGCAUCAGGUAACAUCAAAUCGUACCCCAAACCGACACAGGUGGUCAGGUAGAGAAUACCAAGGCGCUUGAGAGAACUCGGGUGAAGGAACUAGGCAAAAUGGUGCCGUAACUUCG